CGCCGGGGCGGGGGGAGCGGCUGCGCGUGGAGCCGGAGGUCCCCGGCGGGAGGCGCGCCGGCCUUGGGGACGUCACAGCGCUGGAAUCCGAGGAAUGCCGGGCUGCAGGAGCUCCUUCUGCAGGCCUCGAGAAGUCGCGCACUUUUAAUGUGGACGCUUGGGAAACUGUUUUCCAAGGUGAAGGCUGAGGACGGAGGACGGGAUGAAACUCCCUAUAGAGUAAGAGGCGUGGGAGGGGAGAAGGACAGGAGACCGCAGCCAACCCAACCUAGCGCCGCUCCGGCGGGGGCGGAAGGCAGGAAGAAGGGAAAAUCCCACCUAGACCUCCGCAAACCGCAGUGGCGGGGCAGCGGGAGGAACUCGCCCGCUCCGAUCUAGAGCGAGGAUAGCCCAUCUUAUUUCGGGGACUCCUCCGAGAAGGACGUCCCUAUGCAGCCGCUGCACAGGGGAAGACAGACCAGGACAAAGUAAGGUGGCUUCACGGAGCAGGUUAUCUCAAGAGUUCUCCCUCCAGGACACCCGGAACCUCAGGGUACCGGACCUGGUGUCUUCAUCUCACCAUCCCUCCCCCCUCCCGGAAUCGCAAAGGCACUUUAUGCUGGGACUAUGUGGUUUUCCAGGUUCUUUCCAUGCCACAGAACCGCCCCACCCUGCCUCGGUAGGCACUGGGAGGGAACUUCCUUAGUACUUUCAGAGGUGGAGUUAAUGAGACGCAGCUGGUAUGAUGGAAAAAGCACUGAGCCAGGAGAGGGAACCUAUGUUUUAGGCCCUGCCCUGCCCUGCUGGUGACCGACUGGAUGACUGAGGGGUAUGCCAGCCCCCAAAAGCCUUGGCUUCUGUAGCUGUAAAAUUAAAGGGUUUGCCUACAUUUCUGUGGUCCUUUGCAUUGCUAAAAACAUGUCUUCGGAGUCUGUUAUCUUACCAGGACUCAGGCCCAGCCCUUUCAACCUUUGUUAGCUUGAAAAGGAUCCUUGAAGUCUUUGUCACAGAAGAUAUUGUUCUGUAUUACUUCACUGUCCCACAACUGAUACUAAAAUUCUGGAUCUCUUGGGGAAGAAAAUGGGAAAUGAAAGAGCAAAGCUUUUCGUACCCAUCGUGUACAAAUUUGUGGGGACUGACUUCUCUGAGCAUUUGCCGAUCUCCAGAACUAUAAAGAAGUAGAGAAGACCUCAAAGGGAUGGAAGGAAAACGCUGAAGGGAAUUAAGAUCAGUUUCUCAAACUUUCUACGAAAUAGCUGGAUAGCUUCAAUAUGGACUUGCUGAAUUUCCAAAGAAAAUUAGGGAGUGCCUUACUGUGCUCCCGGAAGCCUGGCAAGCACUCUGUGCUCCUGUGUUCCUGUCCGCAUUUCCUAGGUGAGGAAAGUGAGGCGUGAAGCAAUUACCUGUCUCACCAAGGGUCACACAGCUAGGAAAAUAUAAUAAUGGACUGUAGUCUGUCUGGCCCCAAAAUGCAAACUCUUAAUUUCUGAAUUUUGACCAAAACAGGAUUAAGAUUAAAGACACGGAAAUAGCUGCAGGCUCUCAAGGAAAAGGAUCCCUGCCUUCCCAAGGGACUGCCCUCACCAGAGUCAAAGGAGAGAGGGCCUCCAGAUCCGUGCCUGUCACCUGAGGCUGCAGAUGAAUUACUUCCUUGUUGCUUCCUUCUGG
rnacentral:lncRNA from 1 species